AUCGCUAUGGCGUAAGUGGGGCAUGUGGGGUAUGAAAAAUCGAAAGGGUAGGGAAAGUUUUCCGGUUCCCUAU
rnacentral:tRNA from 1 species